UGGGGAAUUUUGCACAAUGGGGGAAACCCUGAUGCAGCGACGCCGCGUGAUUUAGAAGGCCUUCGGGUUGUAAAAAUCUUUUCUAUGGGAAGAAAAUGACAGUACCAUAGGAAUAAGGACCGGCUAAUUACGUGCCAGCAGCCGCGGUAAUACGUAAGGCCCGAGCGUUGUCCGGAAUCAUUGGGCGUAAAGGGUACGUAGGCGGGUAAGCAAGUUAGAAGUGAAAUCCUAUAGCUCAACUAUAGUAAGCUUUUAAAACUGCUCAUCUUGAGGUAUGGAAGGGAAAGUGGAAUUCCUGGUGUAGCGGUGAAAUGCGCAGAUAUUAGGAGGAAUACCGGUGGCGAAGGCGACUUUCUGGCCAUAACCUGACGCUGAGGUACGAAAGCGUGGGUAGCAAACAGG
rnacentral:rRNA from 1 species